ensembl:lncRNA
AGAAUUUUGAGCAUUACUUUACUAGCAUGUGAGAUGAGUGCAAUUGUGUGGUAGUCUGAGCAUUCUUUGGCAUUGCCCUUCUUUGGGAUUGGAAUGAAAACUGACCUUUUCUAGUCCUGUGGCCACUGCUGAGUUUUCCAAAUUUGCUGGCAUAUUGAGUGCAGCACUUUCACAGCAUCAUCUUUCAGGAUUUGAAAUAGCUUCACUGGAAUUCCAUCACCUCCACUAGCUUUGUUUGUAGUGAUGCUUUCUAAGGCCCACUUGACUUCAUAUUCCAGGAUGUCUGGCUCUACAUGAGUGAUCACACCAUCGUGAUUAGAGACCUUAAAAUAUACUGCUUACCUUCCAGACACUUUACAAAUACUGUCUCAUCUACUCUUCAAACUAAUGCUAGGCUGUUAGGUGUCACAGUUGCUGUUUUAAAUGUAAGAGGGAGACUGGACCAGAGGUAGCCUGAAGCACUGCUCACUACGUCAGGCAUAGUGGGGUGAUGCACAGUGGGAUUAUUGCCCAUUUUCAGGAGCCUGGUGGGCUGCAGUCCUUCUGCUCGCUAAGGGUCGGACACGACUGAGCAACUUCACUUUCACUUUUCACUUUCAUACAUUGGAGAAGGAAAUGGCAAGAAUAUUGCAGUGGGAUGCCAUUUGUUCCUCCAGCGGGUCUUCCUGACCCAGGGGUUGAGCCUGUGUCUUCUACACUGCAGGCGGGUUCUUUCCUGCUGGGCCACCUGGCUGCAGUAAAGAAUCAGACGGAGGCUGAGGACUCCGUUCUCCUAAAGCCUCUGCAUCUCCCCAGUGGCAGAGGCAGACGCUCUACAUACCACCUGGGGAAACUUCUUUCACAUUAAAUCGACUGUGAUGGCCAUACCUGGGUGGAUUCCUCACAAGGGCUGGCAGGUAUCUGUGCUUCCUAUUCCUCUGUCGUUCACAGCCUCCAGGUCCAUAACUAGAAUUAAUUCCCCAUGUAGGAAUCAGGGACAGGUUAGUACAGGGUUUGCUCCAAGAGCAGAAAACUCUAACUACUGGAAGAGAUAUUACAGCUAUGUAUUGUCAUGAUGACUCUGUAAUCUCUCAUGUAAAGAUAAUAGAAAC